UUCUGCUGGGUUUGCCAUUCAGAUUCUGCUGUGCGGCAGUGGAAUCCGUCGAUAAAAAUCGAACCAAACGGGCCUUUGACAGCGAAUUUCUCAAAUCGGAUUCUCCAGAUUCUGUUGUUCGGCAGCCGGCAGCGGAAUCCGUCGAUAAAAACUGAACCAAACGGCCUCUGACAAAACGGGCCUUUGAUAGUUCAACUUGCAUUGCAUGCAAGUUACAUUAUUUGUUUAACGCUUGACGCUUCCACGCGGCUACAGCGCCAAAAGCCCCUACCGAACACACAACCGUACUACUACUACCAGACUCGGCACGCCACACUUGCUCGUACAGACCACACACCACGGACACACUUCACUCUUCUUCGCGAGCUUCUCCAUCCCCGAUCUAGCUAUUGACGAUGGUACCACCUGCAACCCAGCAACACACACAAAAACGCAAUGAAUUUCAUGGUCAAGAGAUGGGAAGAAUCAACAAGGUGCUGGUGAAGGGGUUACCGUUGGGGUGGAUGACCUGGCCGGAGAUGUAGGAGGAGUCCUGCUCGCUGGCCAGGAAGACGAAGCUGGGCGCCACCUCGCUGGGCUGCCCGGCACGCUUCAUGGGCACCUCGGACCCGAACUGCUUCACCUUCUCCUCCGGGAAGGAGGCCGGGAUGAGCGGCGUCCAGAUGGGCCCCGGCGCGACGCCGUUGACGCGGAUCCCCUUCUCCGCCAGCUGCAUCGACAGCGCGCGGGUGAAGGCCACGAUGGCGCCCUUGGUGGCCGUGUAGUCCAGCAGCGUCGCGUUGCCCUUGUACGCGUUCACGGAGGUGGUGUUGAUGAUGCUGGACCCGGGCCCCAUGUGCUUCACCGCGAACUUGGCCAUGAGGAAGUAGGAGAAGAUGUUGGUGCGGAACACGCGCUCCAGGUCCUGCUCGCUGAUCUCGGUGAUGCAGGGCCGGAC
rnacentral:lncRNA from 1 species